AGGUAAUAGAUACCCGGGUAGUCCUGGCAGUAAACGGUGCGCGUUUGGUGUGGGAGGAUUCGACCCCUUCUGUGCCGGAGCUAAACGCGUUAAAAACGCGCCGCCUGGGGAGUACGGUCGCAAGAUUAAAACCUCAAAGAAAUUGACGGGGGUCCCGCACAAGCGGUGGAGUAUGUGGCUUAAUUCGAUGCAACGCGAAGAACCUUACCUAGCCUUGACAUGCAUCUCUAAGUCGGUGAAAGCCGGCGACUGUAGCAAUACAGAAUUUGCACAGGUGCUGCAUGGCUGUCGUCAGCUCGUGUCGUGAGAUGUUGGGUU
rnacentral:rRNA from 1 species